CCUACGGGGGGCUGCAGUGGGGAAUAUUGGACAAUGGGGGCAACCCUGAUCCAGCCAUGCCGCGUGUGUGAAGAAGGCCCUCGGGUUGUAAAGCACUUUCAGUGAGGAAGAACGCCUGGUGGUUAAUACCCAUCAGGAAAGACAUCACUCACAGAAGAAGCACCGGCUAACUCCGUGCCAGCAGCCGCGGUAAUACGGAGGGUGCGAGCGUUAAUCGGAAUUACUGGGCGUAAAGCGCGCGUAGGUGGCUUGAUAAGCCGGUUGUGAAAGCCCCGGGCUCAACCUGGGAACGGCAUCCGGAACUGUCAAGCUAGAGUGCAGGAGAGGAAGGUAGAAUUCCCGGUGUAGCGGUGAAAUGCGUAGAGAUCGGGAGGAAUACCAGUGGCGAAGGCGGCCUUCUGGACUGACACUGACACUGAGGUGCGAAAGCGUGGGUAACAAACAGGAUUAGAUACCCCAGUAGUC
rnacentral:rRNA from 1 species